GCAGCUAACGCACUAAGUAGACCGCCUGGGGAGUACGGUCGCAAGAUUAAAACUCAAAUGAAUUGACGGGGGCCCGCACAAGCGGUGGAGCAUGUGGUUUAAUUCGAAGCAACGCGAAGAACCUUACCUACUCUUGACAUCCAGAGAAUUUAGCAGAGAUGCUUUAGUGCCUUCGGGAACUCUGAGACAGGUGCUGCAUGGCUGUCGUCAGCUCGUGUUGUGAAAUGUUGGGUUAAGUCCCGUAACGAGCGCAACCCUUGUCCUUAGUUACUAACAUUAAGUUGAGAACUCUAAGGAGACUGCCGGUGACAAACCGGAGGAAGGCGGGGACGACGUCAAGUCAUCAUGGCCCUUACGAGUAGGGCUACACACGUGCUACAAUGGCCAGUACAAAGGGUUGCCAAGCCGCGAGGUGGAGCUAAUCCCAGAAAGCUGGUCGUAGUCCGGAUCGGAGUCUGCAACUCGACUCCGUGAAGUCGGAAUCGCUAGUAAUCGUGAAUCAGAAUGUCACGGUGAAUACGUUCCCGGGCCUUGUGCACACCGCCCGUCACACCAUGGGAGUGGGUUGCUCCAGAAGUAGAUAGCUUAACCUUCGGGAGGGCGUUUACCACGGAGUGAUUCAUGACUGGGGUGAAGUCGUAACAAGGUAGCCGUA
rnacentral:rRNA from 1 species